rnacentral:rRNA from 2 species
GACGAACGCUGGCGGCGUGCCUAAUACAUGCAAGUCGAACGAACUCUGGUAUUGAUUGGUGCUUGCAUCAUGAUUUACAUUUGAGUGAGUGGCGAACUGGUGAGUAACACGUGGGAAACCUGCCCAGAAGCGGGGGAUAACACCUGGAAACAGAUGCUAAUACCGCAUAACAACUUGGACCGCAUGGUCCGAGUUUGAAAGAUGGCUUCGGCUAUCACUUUUGGAUGGUCCCGCGGCGUAUUAGCUAGAUGGUGGGGUAACGGCUCACCAUGGCAAUGAUACGUAGCCGACCUGAGAGGGUAAUCGGCCACACUGGGACUGAGACACGGCCCAAACUCCUACGGGAGGCAGCAGUAGGGAAUCUUCCACAAUGGACGAAAGUCUGAUGGAGCAACGCCGCGUGAGUGAAGAAGGGUUUCGGCUCGUAAAACUCUGUUGUUAAAGAAGAACAUAUCUGAGAGUAACUGUUCAGGUAUUGACGGUAUUUAACCAGAAAGCCACGGCUAACUACGUGCCAGCAGCCGCGGUAAUACGUAGGUGGCAAGCGUUGUCCGGAUUUAUUGGGCGUAAAGCGAGCGCAGGCGGUUUUUUAAGUCUGAUGUGAAAGCCUUCGGCUCAACCGAAGAAGUGCAUCGGAAACUGGGAAACUUGAGUGCAGAAGAGGACAGUGGAACUCCAUGUGUAGCGGUGAAAUGCGUAGAUAUAUGGAAGAACACCAGUGGCGAAAGCGGCUGUCUGGUCUGUAACUGACGCUGAGGCUCGAAAGUAUGGGUAGCAAACAGGAUUAGAUACCCUGGUAGUCCAUACCGUAAACGAUGAAUGCUAAGUGUUGGAGGGUUUCCGCCCUUCAGUGCUGCAGCUAACGCAUUAAGCAUUCCGCCUGGGGAGUACGGCCGCAAGGCUGAAACUCAAAGGAAUUGACGGGGGCCCGCACAAGCGGUGGAGCAUGUGGUUUAAUUCGAAGCUACGCGAAGAACCUUACCAGGUCUUGACAUACUAUGCAAAUCUAAGAGAUUAGACGUUCCCUUCGGGGACAUGGAUACAGGUGGUGCAUGGUUGUCGUCAGCUCGUGUCGUGAGAUGUUGGGUUAAGUCCCGCAACGAGCGCAACCCUUAUUAUCAGUUGCCAGCAUUAAGUUGGGCACUCUGGUGAGACUGCCGGUGACAAACCGGAGGAAGGUGGGGAUGACGUCAAAUCAUCAUGCCCCUUAUGACCUGGGCUACACACGUGCUACAAUGGAUGGUACAACGAGUUGCGAACUCGCGAGAGUAAGCUAAUCUCUUAAAGCCAUUCUCAGUUCGGAUUGUAGGCUGCAACUCGCCUACAUGAAGUCGGAAUCGCUAGUAAUCGCGGAUCAGCAUGCCGCGGUGAAUACGUUCCCGGGCCUUGUACACACCGCCCGUCACACCAUGAGAGUUUGUAACACCCAAAGUCGGUGGGGUAACCUUUUAGGAACCAGCCGCCUAAGGUGGGACAGAUGAUUAGGGUG